rnacentral:tRNA from 1 species
GAAUGUAUAGCUCAGUGAUAGAGUGUGUGCUUAGCAUGCAUGAGGUCCUGGGUUCAAUCCCCAGUACCUCCA